AUUGAACGCUGGCGGCAGGCUUAACACAUGCAAGUCGAGCGGGGUGAUGGUGCUUGCACUAUCACUUAGCGGCGGACGGGUGAGUAAUGCUUAGGAAUCUGCCUAUUAGUGGGGGACAACAUCUCGAAAGGGAUGCUAAUACCGCAUACGUCCUACGGGAGAAAGCAGGGGAUCACUUGUGACCUUGCGCUAAUAGAUGAGCCUAAGUCGGAUUAGCUAGGUGGUGGGGUAAAGGCCUACCAAGGCGACGAUCUGUAGCGGGUCUGAGAGGAUGAUCCGCCAAACUGGGACUGAGACAGGGCCCAGACUCCUACGGGAGGCAGCAGUGGGGAAUAUUGGACAAGGGGGGGAACCCUGAUCCAGCCAUGCCGCGUGUGUGAAGAAGGCCUUAUGGUUGUAAAGCACUUUAAGCGAGGAGGAGGCUCUUUUGGUUAAUACCCAAGAUGAGUGGACGUUACUCGCAGAAUAAGCACCGGCUAACUCUGUGCCAGCAGCCGCCGUAA
rnacentral:rRNA from 1 species